rnacentral:ribozyme from 11 species
CAGCGUGUCUCCGGGGCAGGUCAGCGGGUGGAGCCGGAAUCUGCCCAUGUAGGUCACCUUGGGGAUGCGGGAGAUGUCCAA